UUGGGUUAAGUCCCGCAACGAGCGCAACCCCUAUCACUAGUUGCCAUCAGGUAACGCUGGGAACUCUAGUGAAACUGCCGUCGUAAGACGCGAGGAAGGAGGGGAUGAUGUCAAGUCAUCAUGGCCUUUAUGCCCAGGGCUACACACGUGCUACAAUGGAGUGGACAAAGGGCUGCAACAUAGCGAUAUGAAGCUAAUCCCAAAAACCACUUCUCAGUUCAGAUUGGAGUCUGCAACUCGACUCCAUGAAGCUGGAAUCGCUAGUAAUCGUAUAUCAGCAAUGAUACGGUGAAUACGUUCCCGGACCUUGCACACACCGCCCGUCAAGCCAUGGGAGCCGGGUGUACGUAAAGUCGUAACCGCCAAGGAGCCGC
rnacentral:rRNA from 1 species